GGAAAGCUGUGAUGUUCGAUUGGUUCAUCUAGUGUGUUGACCGAACAUUUUUAUUAUUGAUAUGGGACCUGUCUUGUAUCUUCAUCAGUGGUAUGCCUUAUCUCUUGGUAACCCAAUAUGAUAGAUCGUGGGACCCACCUGCUUUAACUUGCGGGUUCAAUACCACCGAACUUUCACCGGCAUUAACGGCAAGUAC
rnacentral:other from 1 species